ACGCGGGCUGGGUUCAGAACGUCGUGAGACAGUUCGGUCCCUAUCCGGCGCAGGCGUAGGAAAUUUGAGAAGACCUGUCCUUAGUACGAGAGGACCGGGAUGGACGUACCUCUGGUGUACCAGUUGUCCUGCCAAGGGCAUGGCUGGGUAGCUAGGUACGGAAUGGAUAAGCGCUGAAAGCAUCUAAGCGCGAAGCCAACUUCAAGAUAAGAUUUCCCACCGCAAGGGUAAGACCCCAGAAAGACUAUCUGGUUGAUAGGUCGAAGGUGUAAGUGCAGCAAUGUAUUUAGCUUAUCGAUACUAAUAGGUCGAGGACUUGACCA
rnacentral:rRNA from 1 species